GUUUUCCUUAUCAAAACCCGUUGAAGUAGUUAAAUACACACUGCUGUUACUACUGCGGCGUUUCCACACGGAACUAACAACUUUCUAAACGUUUCAUAUUGUAUAUGAUAGCUCUACCAAAUACGGCCACUCUUAGUUUUGUGCUGCUAUAGAGCUAUUUUUGCACCCAUAGCUACCAUUCUUGUUACAUACGAUCUACUAAAUAAAUCAUCACUGCUCGUAGGAAGGAGAAUAAGGUAACGUUUGUUGAACAUGACUGCUGCAAUUUGGCUGUGGAGAAUUCUUUUCCUUUCCUCCCAACUUCUAAUAUCUUGGACAGAAAAUACUAAAUGUGUGAGUAACGAUGUAUAUACAAAA